rnacentral:rRNA from 1 species
AUUGAACGCUGGCGGCAGGCUUAACACAUGCAAGUCGAACGCAUUGAGAGAAGUGCUUGCACUUUUCAAUUUGAGUGGCGAACGGGUGAGUAACACGUGGGCAACCUACCUGAUAGCGGGGGAUAACGAGUGGAAACAUUCGCUAAUACCGCAUAACAAUAGAGAAGGCAUCUUCUUUAUUUAAAAGGCGCCUUCAAGCGUCACUAUCAGAUGGGCCCGCGGUGCAUUAGUCAGUUGGUGGGGUGAAGGCCUACCAAGACGAUGAUGCAUAGCCGAGUUGAGAGACUGAUCGGCCACAUUGGGACUGAGACACGGCCCAAACUCCUACGGGAGGCUGCAGUAGGGAAUCUUCCACAAUGGACGAAAGUCUGAUGGAGCAACGCCGCGUGUGUGAUGAAGGCUUUCGGGUCGUAAAGCACUGUUGUAUGGGAAGAAAUGCUAGGCUAGGAAAUGAGCUUAGUUUGACGGUACCAUACCAGAAAGGGACGGCUAAAUACGUGCCAGCCGCCGCCGUAA